rnacentral:rRNA from 1 species
GGUCUGAGAGGAUGAUCAGUCACAACUUGGAACUGAGACACGGUCCAAGACUCCUACGGGAGGCAGCAGUGGGGAAUAUUGGACAAUGGGCGAAAGCCUGAUCCAGCCAUGCCGCGUGUGUGAAGAAGGUCUUCGGAUUGUAAAGCACUUUAAGUUGGGAGGAAGGUCAGUAAGUUAAUACCUUGCUGUUUUGACGUUACCAACAGAAUAAGCACCGGCUAACUUCGUGCCAGCAGCCGCGGUAAUACGAAGGGUGCAAGCGUUAAUCGGAAUUACUGGGCGUAAAGCGCGCGUAGGUGGUUCAGCAAGUUGGAUGUGAAAUCCCCGGGCUCAACCUGGGAACUGCAUCCAAAA